rnacentral:rRNA from 1 species
UAUGUAUGUGCCAGCCGCCGCGGUAAUACGUAGGCGGCAAGCGUUGUCCGGAAUUAUUGGGCGUAAAGGGAGCGCAGGCGGGAAACUAAGCGGAUCUUAAAAGUGCGGGGCUCAACCCCGUGAUGGGGUCCGAACUGGUUUUCUUGAGUGCAGGAGAGGAAAGCGGAAUUCCCAGUGUAGCGGUGAAAUGCGUAGAUAUUGGGAAGAACACCAGUGGCGAAGGCGGCUUUCUGGACUGUAACUGACGCUGAGGCUCGAAAGCUAGGGUAGCGAACGGG